GAUGAAGAACGCAGCGAAAUGCGAUAAGUAAUGUGAAUUGCAGAAUUCAGUGAAUCAUCGAAUCUUUGAACGCACAUUGCGCCCCUUGGUAUUCCGAGGGGCAUGCCUGUUCGAGCGUCAUUAUAACCCCUCAAGCUCAGCUUGGUGUUGGGGCCUGCUGCACUGGCAGCCCUUAAAAUCAGUGGCGGCGCCAUCUGGCUCUAAGCGUAGUAAUUCUUCUCGCUAUGGAGUCCUGGUGGAUGCUUGCCAUCAACCCCCAAUUUUUCUAUGGUUGACCUCGGAUCAGGUAGGGAUACCCGCUGAACUUAAGCAUAUCAUUAAGCGGAGGA
rnacentral:misc_RNA from 1 species